rnacentral:rRNA from 1 species
UAGUCCACGCCGUAAACGAUGCAUACUAGGUAUCAGCGCCUCUGACGGGGUUGGUGCCGGAACAAGAGCGAUAAGUAUGCCGCCUGGGGAGUACGGCCGCAAGGCUAAAACUCAAAGGAAUUGACGGGGGCUCACACAAGCGGUGGAGCAUGUGGAUUAAUUCGAAGCAACGCGAAGAACCCUACCUGGGUUUGAAAUGCUAGGAUGCACCCGUGAAAGCGGGCUAUGCUGCCUUUGGUGAAACUAGCACAGGUGCUGCAUGGCUGUCGUCAGCUCGUGCUGUGAAGUGUCGGGUUAAGUCCCUUAACGAGCGAAACCCCUAUCGUUAGUUGCCAGCGGUUCGGCCGGGGACUCUAGCGAGACUGCCGGCGUCAAGCCGGAGGAAGGUGGGGGACGACGUCAAGUCAUCAUGGGCCUCUAUGCCCAGGGGUGUCACACGUGCUACAAUGGGCGCGGACAGAGCGACGCAAGACCGCGAGGGUGGGAGC